GAUGAACGCUAGCUACAGGCUUAACACAUGCAAGUCGAGGGGCAGCAUGGAAGAAGCUUGCUUCUUCUGAUGGCGACCGGCGCACGGGUGCGUAACGCGUAUCAAACCUGCCUCAUACUCGGGGAUAGCCUUGCGAAAGUAAGAUUAAUACCCGAUGUUGUUAUGUUACCGCAUGGUGAUAUAACCAAAGAUUUAUCGGUAUGAGAUGGUGAUGCGUCCGAUUAGGUAGUAGGCGGGGUAACGGCCCACCUAGCCUUCGAUCGGUAGGGGUUCUGAGAGGAAGGUCCCCCACACUGGAACUGAGACACGGUCCAGACUCCUACGGGAGGCAGCAGUGAGGAAUAUUGGUCAAUGGACGCAAGUCUGAACCAGCCAAGUAGCGUGCAGGAUGACGGCCCUCUGGGUUGUAAACUGCUUUUAGUUGGGAAUAAAAAAGAGGACGUGUCCUCUACUGUAUGUACCUUCAGAAAAAGGACCGGCUAAUUCCGUGCCAGCAGCCGCGGUAAUACGGAAGGUCCAGGCGUUAUCCGGAUUUAUUGGGUUUAAAGGGAGCGUAGGCGGAUUAUUAAGUCAGUGGUGAAAGACGGUGGCUCAACCAUCGUUAGCCAUUGAAACUGGUAGUCUUGAGUGCAGACAGGGAUGCUGGAACUCGUGGUGUAGCGGUGAAAUGCUUAGAUAUCACGAUGAACUCCGAUCGCGAAGGCAAGUGUCCGGGCUGCAACUGACGCUGAGGCUCGAAAGUGUGGGUAUCAAACAGG
rnacentral:rRNA from 1 species